AUUAUAAUAUUUUAUAUAAAAUAUUGUUUUGCAAAAACAAAGAUAACUUUAUGUUUUAUAAUU
rnacentral:tRNA from 1 species